AUACUUAAGUCUUAUGUUUGCUAUGUUUUCUCUGCUUUCUACAGUGUUCUGUUAGGAAUGGUGUCUCCCUUUCAUGGCCUUGGUUUUUCUCAGAUACUGUGUGAUUCUUGAUCUGUUUGCUUUUGUGUUUUGACCUUCCUCGUUUGCCUGUCUUUGGUUGCCUGCCUCUCAUAAUGGGAAGCCACGUUGAAUGUGGGUCUGACUUGUCUUUGGGACAUUGGGAUGUAGGGUUCUUUUCCUACUUGAAGGUGAUAAGCUUGCUAGAUUCCCACCUUUUUUCUCCUGGCCUCUGUGACUCUGAGCUGAGUAGUAAAAGUUCUCAUUUCUGAGAGCAUUCCACAGUGAACUCUCGCCAGGGGACAGCGCUAGAGAUAGGUUUUGUUUUCCUUCUUUUCUUUCUUCUGAUGCACUUAUAGAAGCUUCAGGCUUUGUUCUACUAAUUCUACCGUGCAUGUGAUCACCAAACAGUUCUGGAUUUUUUUUUCCUUAUGGAAAUUAUGCCAUGGCAAAUUGCAGGAGUUCAGGAAAUUCCUACAGUGCUCUCUGUUAGAACUGUUUUUCUCCUGUAUGUUUUAGACUCCCACUUCUAUUGUCUGCUUUUUCUUUUUGAGACGGUCUUACUCUGCCACCCAGGCUGGAGUGCAUUGGGGUAAUCACAGCUCACUGCAACCUUGAUCUCUUGGGCUCAGCCUCCUGAGUAGCUGGGAUGACAGGCACAUGUCACCAGGCCUAGCUAAUUUCCCUUUUUUUUUUUUUUUUUUUGGCGGGGGUAAGGGGAAGGUAGAAACAAGGUUUCACUAUAUUGCCUAGGCUGGUCUCAAACUCCUGUGCUCAAGCAUUCUUCUGGCCUUUGCCUCCCAAAAUUCUGGGAUUACAGGUGUGAGCCAUGGUGCCCAGCCCUAAUUUUACUUUAUAUAUUUUAGAAAUUACUUAAAUUUUCUGUUCCUUUCCAGGGUCAUUUGGAUGUAUUUUAUUAAAAUGGCAUUGUCUGGGAUUUAUGACUUAGUAUCUGUCAUCACUCAUGAUCAUUUUUAAAGACUUUGUUAAUCUGAUAGAAAAAAGCGUCAUUGUUGGCUGGGCACAGUGGCUCACGCCUGUAAUCCCAACACUUUGGGAGGCUGAGGUGGGUGGAUCACCUGAGGUCAGGAGUUUGAAACCAGCCUGCCCAACAUGGUGAAACCCUGUCUCCACUAAAAAUACAAAAAUUAGCCAUAAAUGGUGGCAGGCGCCUGGUGGGCACCUAUAAUCCUAGCUACUUGGGAGGCUGAGGUAGGAGAAUUGCUUGAACCCAGGAGGUGGAGGUCACGGUGAGCCAAGACCACACCAUUGCACUCUAGCCCGGGCAACAAGAGCAAAACUCCAUCUUAAAAAAAAAAAAAAAAAAAAAAAAAAAAAAAAAAUUCACUGUUUUAAUUUGCAUUUUCUACAUCUUUGCUGGCAUGCAUUUUUAUGUAGGACUUCCUACAUACUGUAUUCAGAUUGGCCUAUGGGAAUAUUUUAGACAUAAUGAGAAUCAAGAGGCAUUCAACCCAUAUAUAUUUUGUGUCUUCAAGACCUGUAACUAUAUAAAACAAAGCUUAUGCUAUCCAGGAAUUCUCAGUGGUGCUUGUAGCAGGGAGCUAUGGGAACAGGAGGGUUUGUGUGGCUUUCUAUAUCUGAAUAUCCUGGGGAGUUUCCUCAGAUUACUCAGUAGACUGGGAUGGGGCAUGGUGUGUGUGUGUGGUGGGGGUGGGGGAGGGGUGCUAUGCAUUUCUUAAGUAUCUCCAUGUGGCAUCUAUAAUUUCAUUUCCCCUAAAUUGGUUUAGUUUGUUUUCCAGUGAAGUUUUCACUAGUGAAUGACAUUAGUGCUUGAUCACUAUGGGAACAGAAAAAAGGGCAAAAGCCAAAGUGGUAUUAGUAUGCAAGAGCAACCACUUUAAGGAUCAUGUAUGGCUUCUGUUUCUUCAGCACAGUAGUGUGGAUUUGAGCCUCGCUCUGGGUUGAUUGACUGAUCCUCCUUCUGCCUGCGUGGCUGCCUAUCCACCCACCUCUCUCCCUGCCUUUUGAGGGGAAGAGAGGAAGGAGGAAGGGUCGCUGGGCUAGCUAAAAAACUUCCAUAAAAUUUCCUUUGUAGCUCAAAGGCCUUAGUAAAGGUCAUUGCAAUGAAGACUUGUAUAUUCUGUAUGAUACUUCACUUCACUUGGUAGAUUUGUACCAGUUUGUAUUUUCACAAAGGCAUGAUUUACAAACUCCUUACAAAUUGAAAACUGCAAGGAAGUCUGUGAUUGAUUUAAAGAGUAUCCGUUAAGGUUUAGACACAUUCAGGGUGAGUGUGUACUUUCAGUAGAAACCCAUUUCUUGUUUCUAGAAUCAACAUAAAAUUUUCACUGAUACUUACAUCAACAUUCACAGUGUGGUAAUCUGAAUUGGUAGGUAACCAGGUGUGACUAGCUUCAGAAAAACCAGCAUUUGAACUAUUGUCCCACUGCAUUGGUGACUUUGAGCGAAGGGUAUUCUAUGUCAAAAGACCCGAAAGGGAAAACAGUGGUUUGGUUAUUCAAAGAAAUGUACUUUGGUCCUGAUUGUACUCAUUAGCAUUUGUGAUGAAAAGGCUUAACAUUCAGUACAUAAACCAGUUUCACCCUUUUAACUAGAAAGUACCUAAUAACAUUGAGUUUGAAUAGACAAUGCUAAUUUAACUUUAACAUUUUGAGUUUGAAUAGACAAUACUAAUCGAACUUUAAUACAUGCUUGAAAUCUUUGCUGCUUUUUCCUAAAAAUCAAUAAUACAGGAUUUCAAAAUGUGCUAUUGCCAGUUUACACGACUUCUACUAUGGUACAGCGAUGGUGAAUUUAAGAACACUGCCAUGUACAAAGACGGGGUCUCUGUCACCCAGGCUGGAGUGCACCCUGGAGUGUGAUCAUGGCUCACGGCAACCUUGAACUCCUGGGCUCAACUCCCACCUCAACCUCCCAAAGUGCUGGGAUUUCAGGUGUGAGCCACCACACCCAGCCUACAAUCAGUUGAUUUUUCAACAAAGGUUCCAUGAUAAUCCAAUGAAGCAAAGAACAGUCUUUUUAGCAUGUGGUGCUGGAAUAAAUGGACCAGGCAAUGGUUUCUAAUAUAACACUAAAAGUACAAGCAACAACAACAAAACAAUUGGACUUCAUAAAAAUUAAAAGCUUUGAUGCUUUUCAAGGGACACUAUCAAGAAAGUGACAUGAAAGCCCACAGAAUGGGAGAAAAUACUUGCAAAUCACCUAUCCAGUAUGUAUCAGGAAUUCUUACAACUAAACAAUAAAAAGACAACCAAAUUUAAUUAUAGGCAAAGAAUUUGAAUAGACAUUUCUCCAAAUAAGACAUGCAAAUAUCCAAUAAGCACAUGAAAAUACCCUCAACAAAAUUAGCCAUCGGGGAAAUGCAAAAAAAAAAAAAAAAAAUACAA